rnacentral:lncRNA from 1 species
AUAGAAAAUAUUAAAAAAAGUAGUAUAAUAACGUCAAUGUAAUUUUGCUUAUUAACUAAAGGAUGAUAAAAAAUAACAAAAUCAAUAAAAGUAGUUAGUCUACUAGUCUGCUUAAAAAGAUAUCAAAAAUUCGAAUUUUACUUUAUACAUAUAGUAACUCAUUGACUAACAAUAAAUUCUUAAAUUAAGUUUUGACUUGCGACGAAUUAAUUUUUGACCUACUAUAUUAGGAUAUCUAUAGUGUAGAAAAAAAAAAGGAUUAUUAAAAAUGAGUUUAGAUAUGAAAAUGAAGGGUGUCAGAAAACAAUAAAAGAAGGACCCUCGUGAAAUGGAUUUUGUUUGGUUUGGUUUUUGGAGUGGUGUAAUGCAAAGUGCUGUGGCGAACCUCACAGUCGUACCUUCAAAUUAUUGCUCCCCGAAUUGCUCGCUGAACCAACUCAAGUGCUCAACUUGACACUCCACGCUUCCGCUAAAUUACCAUUCUAACCUACUAAACUUCUCUUAUUUACCACACAUGCCACAACCAUCAAAUUCUUAAAAGUGUUAGAUUCUAAUAUUCUCAUUAUGUAAUACAAUAUAAAUAUGAUAACAAAUUGAUAUAAAUAAUAGAAUUAGUUUAGUUGUGAUAGGUUUUGAUGAUAUGAAAGAGGGUUUAAGUUAAACUUCAUACAUUUCAAAAAUAUAAAAAUAGAAAAAUAAUUAUAUUAUAUAUACACACAAAAAAUUAAUUACUCAUAUAAAAUAUAUAUUAAAAUAUAAAAUAUAUAUUAAAAAAUAAAUAUAUGAUGAUUAAUUUAGAGAUUAAUUUUAUGUGUAUACAUAAUAUUUUUUUAAUAAACAAUUCAUGUAACACCCUAACUUUUAGCACGUCAUGAUCGUACCAAAAGUAAGGCGUUACGGACCUGAUUUCCUUUAUUAUAAAUUUACUAUUGAGCCUUUACGUCGAUAUCGCGUUUCAGUUUAUAAAAAAAUAUCAGAAAAUUAUUUGUAGUAAUUAAAAUCACACAAUUAAUAAUAAUAAUAAUAAUAAUAAAUGCUAUACAAAUGAAUUUAAUAUAAAACUCAAAUACAAUACCUAUCCCUCUGGAUAAAAUAAAACUUAAAACAACAAGGGCAAGGGAACUCUAUAAAAAUAACAGGAAUCACAAGUAAAUCUACUAGUCGUCUGCAUCUUCUAACUGAAUCUUCGAACGUGUGUCACUGAAAGGGUGGAAGAAUUUGGGGUGAGAACAAACCACACGUUCUCAGUAGGGAAUGGGAAUGCCGUAAAAGUAAUGAAUUUAAUGCAAAUAAUUAACUUACUUAGCAAAACUAUUUUGUUAAACCUUUGGAAAUACUUUUAUUUCUACUUCGUAUAAAUAAUUACUUUUCUUUAAAUUUCUAAACUCAAAACAAAUUUUAAAUAUAAAACUAGUCACAUUUUCUGUCUCUCAGCCACAUAGUUAAUCCUCAGUUAAAUGUCAACUCGUAAUCACUUAAAUACACUCACAAACAAGUAGUGCAAGCAAGAGAUUCAAUUCAAAGUACAAGCAAGUCACAACAAGACAAACAAUACAAUCACAAAGUAAUAAGACAAGCAAGCGCAAUCAAAUGCAAAUGUGCAAACAACAUGAUGCAUGUCUAUCCCUAACGCAGGCCAUGAGCUCAUGUGUCGGUUGCCUACCCGCUCAACUGAACCAUUUUCAACCUUUUUUCAAUCAAGAAAUCAAAUACAUAUUCAAUCAAUCCACAGCCCACAAUUCAACAUCCAUAUAGCCAAUCAACUAAUCACAACAAUUAAAACUAUUUGCAAUUACUCAAUAAACUUUAUGGGCAUUCUUAAAUUAAAAUCGUUUAAGUUAAACCCCCUACCUUCGUAUAUCGAAAGCUCCGGAGAAGCUUUUUGACCGAGCUGCUGAAGGAGAAAACGUCAGAAAUCGUCUAUGCUUCCUAGAACUCCAGUUAACCAAACUCAAGGGAUAGGGGAGUUACGUCACCGUCGACUUCCACCGGACAAAAGUAACGCCAACACGUAGAGGAGAAGGAUACGAAUACUUUUAUCGGAUUAGAUUUUUCUUUGGAAUUACGGAUAUGAAGAAAUCGAAAUCAAAAAUUCGAUGGGGUUACGGUUUUCUUUCUUGCAUGCUUCGGCCUUCCCUUUCCUUAUUUCUUUUCUUAUGAGUUCAAUGAUGAAAGGAACAAAUAUGGGAUAAAGAUGUUUU